rnacentral:rRNA from 1 species
UAGCGGCGAUGGGUGAGUAACACGUACCUAACCUACCUUUUAGAUUGGGAUAACUGUUGGAAACAAUAGCUAAUACCGAAUACGUAUUGGAAUCGCAUGAUUCCUUUAUAAAAGAGGCGUUUGCCUUGCUUAAAGAUGGGGGUGCGUCAUAUUAGCUAGUUGGUAGGGUAAGGGCCUACCAAGGCGAUGAUAUGUAGCCGGACUGAGAAGUUGAUCGGCCACACUGGGACUGAGAUACGGCCCAGACUCCUACGGGAGGCAGCAGUAGGGAAUUUUCCGCAAUGAGCGAAAGCUUGACGGAGCGACACAGCGUGCAGGAUGAAGGUCUUCGGAUUGUAAACUGCUGUUGUAAGGGAAGAAAAAAUUUAAUAGGAAAUGAUUAAAUCUUGACGGUACCUUAUUAGAAAGUGACGGCUAACUAUGUGCCAGCAGCCGCGGUAAUACAUAGGUCACAAGCGUUAUCCGGAAUUAUUGGGCGUAAAGCGUUCGUAGGCGGUUUGUCAAGUCUAGAGUUAAAGCCUGGGGCUCAACCCCAGCCCGCUCUGGAUACUGGCUGACUAGAGUUACAUAGAGGUAAACGGAAUUCUUAGUGAAGCGGUGGAAUGCGUAGAUAUUAGGAAGAACACCAAUGGCGAAGGCAGUUUACUGGAUGUACACUGACGCUCAGGGACGAAAGCGUGGGGAGCAAACAGGAUUAGAUACCCUGGUAGUCCACGCCGUAAACGAUGAUCAUUAGUCGCUAGGGAACUUAGUGACGCAGCUAACGCAUUAAAUGAUCCGCCUGAGUAGUAUGCUCGCAAGAGUGAAACUUAAAGGAAUUGACGGGGACCCGCACAAGCGGUGGAGCAUGUGGUUUAAUUUGAAGAUACGCGUAGAACCUUACCCACUCUUGACAUCUCUGCAAAGC